UGUGAGGGGGCUGAGGGUGUUAGUGUGAGUUGCCGGCACCUGCUGCUCGUGAGGGCUCCAAGCCGGCUCAGCCGCGGACACACGCUUUGAACCCCUCUUUUAAAACCACGCUUUAAAACCGAGUGCCGCCAUGGUUUAUUGUCGCUCCCCCAGCCCAUUUAUACACUGCGUGGAGAGCGGGUCCCGCGGCUCGGUCCCCACAGAAGGCGCCCGGGGCCCACCAGCAAGAAGUUCUGCCAAUGGUGAGACGGAAUUGGUCCAAUUUGAAACACGAAGAAGAGAAGGCUUUUACCUGUUGCAAAAGACAUUUGAGAUAAAAUAAGGUCCUUGAGGGCCUUGCCUUUCAUCUCAAUACAAAAAGAGGACCCUGGGGCCUUGCUAUACACUCAGACUGCACAUGCAGUGAGGGAGAAUAUACAGCAAAUGCAAAGUGAGAAGUCCUUCCUGUCUGUGUGCUGGACUCAGGUGGAGCUGUGCUGGAUCAACAUUAGAAGCCAGAACCCCCUGCCAGGUGUGCCACAGAGCUGCUCAUGGCACAGUAAGGGGAAGGAAAGUUUAACUGAGAUUUCAUUUUCCUUACAUUAUUUGUUCUCUGUCUUGCUGUAUUGGUGUAGUCACUCUGAGUGUGUGCUAUUCUGCCACAUACCAUGUGGGCAGGAAUUCUGAGUUCUAGACCUCUGGAGAUCCCAGCAGGAGCUAAAUAAAAUGUUUCAGCUUUGAAAACAACAAAUGAUCCAAACCCAUUUGAGUUGCCAGAAAUGUCUCAAGUGAGCACUGGAGCA